rnacentral:rRNA from 1 species
CGAUACGGGACUCAUCCGAGGCCCCGUAAUCGGAAUGAGUACACUUUAAAUCCUUUAACAAGGAUCCAUUGGAGGGCAAGUCUGGUGCCAGCAGCCGCGGUAAUUCCAGCUCCAAUAGCGUAUAUUAAAGUUGUUGCGGUUAAAAAGCUCGUAGUUGAAUCUGUGUGCCACGCUGUCGGUUCAUCGCUCGCGAUGUCAACUGGCAUGAUUGUGGUACGUCCUACCGGUGGAUUUAGCCUUUCGGGGCGGUCCAGCUUAAUAUCCCAUCGCGGUGCUCUUUACCGAGUGUCGAGGUGGGCCGGUACGUUUACUUUGAACAAAUUAGAGUGCUUAAAGCAGGCUGUAUACGCCUGAAUACUGUGUGCAUGGAAUAAUAGAAUAGGACCUCGGUUCUAUUUUGUUGGUUUUCGGAACACCGAGGUAAUGAUUAAUAGGGACAGAUGGGGGCAUUCGUAUUGCGACGUUAGAGGUGAAAUUCUUGGAUCGUCGCAAGACGGACAGAAGCGAAAGCAUUUGCCAAAAAUGUUUUCAUUAAUCAAGAACGAAAGUUAGAGGUUCGAAGGCGAUCAGAUACCGCCCUAGUUCUAACCAUAAACGAUGCCAGCUAGCGAUCCGCCGAAGUUCCUCCGAUGACUCGGCGGGCAGCUUCCGGGAAACCAAAGCUUUUGGGUUCCGGGGGAAGUAUGGUUGCAAAGCUGAAACUUAAAGGAAUUGACGGAAGGGCACCACCA